AGCGGCGGACGGGUGAGUAACGCGUGGGUAACCUGCCUUGUACACACGGAUAACAUACCGAAAGGUAUGCUAAUACGAGAUAAUAUACUUUUAUCGCAUGGUAGAAGUAUCAAAGCUCCGGCGGUACAGGAUGGACCCGCGUCUGAUUAGCUAGUUGGUAAGGUAACGGCUUACCAAGGCGACGAUCAGUAGCCGACCUGAGAGGGUGAUCGGCCACAUUGGAACUGAGACACGGUCCAAACUCCUACGGGAGGCAGCAGUGGGGAAAAUUGCACAAUGGGCGAAAGCCUGAUGCAGCAACGCCGCGUGAGCGAUGAAGGCCUUCGGGUCGUAAGCUCUGUCCUCAAGGAAGAUAAUGACGGUACUUGAGGAGGAAGCCCCGGCUAACUACGUGCCAGCAGCCGCGGUAAUACGUAGGGGGCUAGCGUUAUCCGGAAUUACUGGGCGUAAAGGGUGCGUAGGUGGUUUCUUAAGUCAGAGGUGAAAGGCUACGGCUCGACCGUAGUAAGCCUUUGAAACUGGGAAACUUGAGUGCAGGAGAGGAGAGUGGAAUUCCUAGUGUAGCGGUGAAAUGCGUAGAUAUUAGGAGGAACACCAGUUGCGAAGGCGGCUCUCUGGACUGUAACUGACACUGAGGCACGAAAGCGUGGGGAGCAAACAGGAUUAGAUACCCUGGUAGUCCACGCCGUAAACGAUGAGUACUAGCUGU
rnacentral:rRNA from 1 species